GCCAACACCUUAGCCGCGCUGAGUGCACUCGUUCCCGUCAGAUCGCGAAAGUUAAACAGCGCCGGUCAAGGAUAGUACUUGGAUAGGUGAUCGCCUGGGGACUCUGUGUGGCGUUGGCG
rnacentral:rRNA from 13 species